rnacentral:rRNA from 1 species
UACGGGGGGGGCAAGCGUUGUUCGGAAUUACUGGGCGUAAAGGGCGCGUAGGCGGUCGAACAAGUCAGCUGUGAAAACCACGGGCUUAACUCGUGGCCUGCAGUUGAAACUGUUUGGCUAGAGUGUGGGAGAGGAGAGUGGAAUUCCUGGUGUAGCGGUGAAAUGCGUAGAUAUCAGGAGGAACACCGGUGGCGAAGGCGGCUCUCUGGACCACAACUGACGCUGAGGCGCGAAAGCCAGGGGAGCAAACAGG